rnacentral:rRNA from 1 species
CUACGUGCCAGCAGCCGCGGUAAUACGGAAGGUCCAGGCGUUAUCCGGAUUUAUUGGGUUUAAAGGGUGCGUAGGCCGUUUGAUAAGCGUGCUGUGAAAUAUAGUGGCUCAACCUCUAUCGUGCAGCGCGAACUGUUGAACUUGAGUGCGUAGUAGGUAGGCGGAAUUCGUGGUGUAGCGGUGAAAUGCUUAGAUAUCACGAGGAACCCCGAUUGCGAAGGCAGCUUGCGGGAGCACGACUGACGCUGAGGCUCGAAGGUGCGGGUAUCGAACAGGAUUAGAUACCCUGGUAGUCCGCACGGUAAACGAUGGAUGCCCGUUCUCCGGCUUUUUUUUGUCGGGGGACCGAGCGAAAGCAUUGAGCAUCCCACCUGGGGAGUACGCCGGCAACGGUGAAACUCAAAGGAAUUGACGGGGGCCCGCACAAGCGGAGGAACAUGUGGUUUAAUUCGAUGAUACGCGAGGAACCUUACCCGGGCUUGAA